rnacentral:tRNA from 3 species
CAGACAGAAGCCCGCUGGAUUGGGUGUUUAGCUGUUAAUUAAUUUUUUGUGGGAUCGAGGCCCGCCUGUCUAG